rnacentral:rRNA from 1 species
GACGGAGGAUGCAAGCGUUAUCCGGAAUGAUUGGGCGUAAAGCGUCUGCAGGUGGCAGUUCAAGUCUGCUGUCAAAGACCGGGGCUUAACUUCGGAAAGGCAGUGGAAACUGAACAGCUAGAGUAUGGUAGGGGCAGAGGGAAUUCCUGGUGUAGCGGUGAAAUGCGCAGAUAUCAGGAGGAACACCAGCGGCGAAGGCGGCGCUCUGGGCCGGUACUGACGCUGAGGAGCGAAAGCGUGGGGAGCGAUCCGG